rnacentral:lncRNA from 1 species
AUUCGGCAGCGGCUCGCGGCCCGGAGCCCCCUGGGGCACACGGAGGCCCGGGCGGCCGCGCCCCCGGGGCCGGGCCUCGGGGCGGGGGGUGCUGGGGCCAAGGCGCCGCACGGGCGCCCAACCUCGGGGUGCCGCCUCCACAGGCUGUGGCUGGGGCUGGGGCGCGGGAGGCCCGCGGGGCUUCGGAGAGGGAAACUUAGAGAAAAGUCUUCCACUUGGCUUGGGGCCGCAGGGGAAGGAAGACGCCCUCCGCCUGUGCCGGCGCCGACCGCGGGCCGGCAGGUGGGGAGGCCCAGAGCUGGCGGGGAGUUCGUCCCACUCGGAGCCACAGCCUUGCCCGAGGGAGCCUCGAAAUCGUUCAAGGGCAACCUCAGACCAGAGCCAGGGCGCCUCCUCCACAUUCCUGACAGAUGUGCACGCCGCCUCCUCUUGGAUGCUUCCCGUGACAAGGAGCUCACUCCUCAACAAGGCGGACUGCUCGUCCAUCAAGCCUGGCAUCUAAUUCACCUGUGCCGGGUACCGCAGAUGGAGAACGCCAGACAGCUGACACAAAUGCAAGACCCACAGCAACCCCAGAGGCUGAAUUAUUUCCUCCUGGAUGGGAAUGAGUCAUCUCCUCCGCCGUCUCCCUCAACAGGGCUGUAACAUGUUUCCAAGGGUUUCAAAGCCCUGUUUGAAAACAUGGGCUUUGCGGACAGACCCAUGUUCAACUUCAACCCCAGCGGCUUCUGGGUGGGUGGCCUUGAGCAAGUCUCUUCCCAAAGGCUCAUCUUGCUCAUCUAUAAACACAGUCCUAGACCUCUUUCCCUCCUCUACUGAGAGAUCAUCCUGCAACUCCCAAGAGUACAUGUCUCUAUUGCAGCUAUACUGA